rnacentral:rRNA from 1 species
GGGUGAGUAACACGUGAGCAAUCUGCCCCUGACUCUGGGAUAAGCGCUGGAAACGGCGUCUAAUACCGGAUACGAGCUGCGAAGGCAUCUUCAGCAGCUGGAAAGAACUUCGGUCAGGGAUGAGCUCGCGGCCUAUCAGCUAGUUGGUGAGGUAAAGGCUCACCAAGGCGUCGACGGGUAGCCGGCCUGAGAGGGUGACCGGCCACACUGGGACUGAGACACGGCCCAGACUCCUACGGGAGGCAGCAGUGGGGAAUAUUGCACAAUGGGCGCAAGCCUGAUGCAGCAACGCCGCGUGAGGGACGACGGCCUUCGGGUUGUAAACCUCUUUUAGCAGGGAAGAAGCGAAAGUGACGGUACCUGCAGAAAAAGCACCGGCUAACUACGUGCCAGCAGCCGCGGUAAUACGUAGGGUGCAAGCGUUAUCCGGAAUUAUUGGGCGUAAAGAGCUCGUAGGCGGUUUGUCGCGUCUGCUGUGAAAACUGGGGGCUCAACCCCCAGCCUGCAGUGGGUACGGGCAGACUAGAGUGCGGUAGGGGAGAUUGGAAUUCCUGGUGUAGCGGUGGAAUGCGCAGAUAUCAGGAGGAACACCGAUGGCGAAGGCAGAUCUCUGGGCCGUAACUGACGCUGAGGAGCGAAAGGGUGGGGAGCAAACAGGCUUAGAUACCUGGUAGUCCACCCGUAAACGUUGGGAACUAGU